rnacentral:lncRNA from 1 species
GUCAAAAAUUGUUCAAUGGAGAUGAGAGAUUAAAUUUUUUACACAUUUUUGAAAUGUUACUGAUGAAAUUCUAAUAGAAAUGCAAAGUAUACUGCAAUGGAAAUCUUGAAUCACCAUGCGUUCUCAAUAAUCGUGAAGAAAAUCCUAUUGGAUAAUGACGAGGUGCGGCAUGUGGGGGGGAAGUAAUUUGACGACAUGGCAACACAUUAUUGGCAAAUGUGAUUGGCUAUGCUCUGUAAGCUCACGUGACGUCGACAGUGUGCUCCGAUUCGUUUAUUUACCAGAAACCUUUCGUGAAAAACGUUCUGGUCACGUGAUGCUUAGUCGCCAUCUUGCCAUUCAACAUUUUGUCAACUAUAGGCCGAGAAGUGAGAGAGUAUCGGGCUUAAGGUGCCUAUUUGGUGCAAAUUAUCUCGCGUUCUUGACAAAUAAUUAAAAGACUCUGAACAUUGACAUUACGGCAGGUGAGAUGAUCAUCGAUUACCUUCGUCUGGGAAUAUGGUUUAAACCGUUCAAAUGACGCGCGAUGGUUAAGGAUAGUUUUCCCGCCGUACGUUAGGGUUAGUAUUGAUGUUGACUUUUUCUUUAUUUUUUCGUGAUAUAUAUUUCAUAUAUUUGUAGUUCUAAGUACAUGUAUGUAUAUAAAAUUCAAUAUUAAAUAGCAUUGAUCCAUUUGAUGCUUUGCACUUUAUUUUUCUCCUGUUUAUAAGUGGGGCAGGAGCUGAUUAAAUAUUCUCCACUUAGGCCUAAUCACAGAUCGACUUUUGUUUCAUCUGCGUUCAGAUUUUAAUACAUUAAUCCGUGUUAUGUAUAAAAUUGGGAUUAGUAAAUCGUCAUAAUUUAAUUCGAGACAAUUUUAUCUUAAGUAUACGUAAAAUCCUUCGUAUAAUAAAUUUUUAAAUCCUCUACAUGUUAAAAACAUAAAUUCUGGAUUGUUGUGAC